rnacentral:rRNA from 1 species
UACGAAGGGGGCUAGCGUUGCUCGGAAUCACUGGGCGUAAAGGGUGCGUAGGCGGGUCUUUAAGUCAGGGGUGAAAUCCUGGAGCUCAACUCCAGAACUGCCUUUGAUACUGAAGAUCUUGAGUUCGGGAGAGGUGAGUGGAACUGCGAGUGUAGAGGUGAAAUUCGUAAGAUAUUCGCAAGAACACCAGUGGCGAAGGGCGGACUCACUGGCCCGAGUACUGACGCUGAGGCACGAAAGCGUGGG